CUGCUGACACAUCCGGUGGAAAAGGGGAAAGAGCAGCUGAGAAGGUGCGAGCCGGAAAGUGAAGGUGUUUGUGAAAAGUAGGAAAAUGACAAAAGGUUUUAGGGACGUUAACUGCUGAUAGGUGCGGAGUCGCUGGUGAUGAAGUGAGCUUAGCUGUCAGGGCUCUCAUUUGACUGGAACCCAGCCUCGCAGGCAGGUGCUCUGACAGCCCCACAGCCCAGGGGACGAUGAAGGGGUGCACGGUUGAGUUCGCCAUUCUGACGCACCCAUCUGAGACCGGGACUGGUGACAAAGUUGGGUGAGACGCAGCUGUGCCCUGACACCCAUUUUGCUGGGUUAUUUCUGAUGGCAAAGGUAACUCCAAACAUAGAAAUCCUUUCUGCAUGAGACACGUAUGAACUAGAAAGAAGAGGUACCUUCUUAGUGGGCAAACAUGAUAAACAUCACUUUACUUAGUAAUCGAAUAAAUAUUCCAAGAAAUGGGAUGAGUGAUGGGCCACGUCCCCCGAAAAGAUGCCCAGAGAAGAACACGUAGCUUCUGCCAAAAAACGCACAACUCGAAUCUAACCAUGUCAGACAAAUCCACGCCGAGAGAGACCUAGACGAUAACUGUCCUGUCUUCGUCAGCAUCCGUGUCACAAAGCGUGAGAGACUGAAGAACUAGUCCAGGUUAAAGGAGACUGGCGAGAUGGGACAAAAUGGCAAUGCGUUUCUUUCAGUCAAAGGACAUUCCUGGGACAGCCGGGGACAAUGUAAUUCAGGCCAGUAGAUUAGAUAGUGCUAUUGUAUCCGUGUUAUUUCCUGGUCAUGACACUUGUCCUGAAAUUGUGGAACAGAAUGAUUUGGUUUUUAGGAAAGAUACAUCAAUGUAUUUAGAGAGAAAAGGGCACAGUGUGUGCAAUUUACAAAGAUCAAGGAAAGGUCGACAAUUAGCUAGACAGACCCAGAGACUUCCCUCUACAGAGGCUGAUCUGUAUCUAAAUACCUGCACCUGCAUCUCUACCAAGGACACAGGAUGAAGCAAAUACAAGAAAAUGCUACUAUUUAAGGGCAUCGAGGCAAAUACAGGAAGUCUUUAAACUAGUCUAGCAACCUUUCUCUCAGUCUUAAAUCACAUAAAUAUAAAAUGUUAAAAGAAAGA